rnacentral:snoRNA from 1 species
UGUCCCUGAUCUGGUGAGUGGCACUGAGCUGGUGGUGCCUGCUCAUCAGCCAGGGGCAAACCAACCCUAUUAUCCCAGCCUGACUUCCGGUCUACACCUGUGCCCGGUCUAUUCCUUGGGCCCACAG